rnacentral:lncRNA from 1 species
GGGGUGACACCAUGAAUUACUGCACCGGGUGACACCAAUGCUAGGAACGCCACUACAUAAUGACCAGAAGUUAUGGGCCUGACAAAGUAGUCUGUGAUUUUCUGUGACUCUCGAGGGAGCAGCCCUUCCACCACAUUAUAUUAUCAAUAACUGAUCACCAACAUGAUGAAAUUACAAUUGUGAUUAUCAGAAUUCAAGAAGAAAAUAGCUGGACCAUUAGGCAUGGAUUUAUAACUGGACUGAGUAGAGGAUGAGAAUGGAAACAGAAGUAUGAAUGGAGAUUGUAUGUAUGUAUGUAAUGUGAAUAUACAAAUGAAAAGGAAUGAACAACAGCUCAUGAAUGAAAUGUGCAAAUGUAAGCUGGAUGUGUUUUUUAUCAGUGAAAGAUAUCAAAAGGGAUAUACAUUUGAGUGUGUAAGGAAUGGAAUUGAGGGAAUAUGGUGUGGAUUAAAAGAUUAUGAGCAAACAAAAAGUUGUGUGGGUGUGCUGAUGAAACAGGGAACAAAAAAGAGUGUUAGAAUAAAAGUGCAUGAAUGACAGAAUAAUAUGAAUAAAGUGCCAUGACACGCUGAAUACGAAGCAAAGCAUAAGGAAGCAACUUUGCGCAGUUAUCCACAUCCAAUGUGUGUUGGACUAACUUUUCCUGUGUGGCUGCUUAAGUUAAUGCAUGUAGCCAUGUGAAAGGAGAUGAAAAAAUUGAACUUUAAC